AGCAGCCGCGGUAAUUCCAGCUCCAAUAGCGUAUAUUAAAGUUGUUGCAGUUAAAAAGCUCGUAGUUGAAUUUCGGGACCAAUUUGUUGGUCGUGCCUCGGUACGUACUGGUAUUAUUGGUUUCUCCCUUCUGAAGAACCUCGAUGCCAUUAAUUUGGUGUCGUGGGGAAUCAGGACUGUUACUUUGAAAAAAUUAGAGUGUUUAAAGCAAGCAUACGCUUGAAUACAUUAGCAUGGAAUAAUGAAAUAGGACGUUUGAUUCUAUUUUGUUGGUUUCUAGGAUCGACGUAAUGAUUAAUAGGGAUAGUUGGGGGCAUUAGUAUUCAAUUGUCAGAGGUGAAAUUCUUGGAUUUAUUGAAGACUAACUACUGCGAAAGCAUUUGCCAAGGAUGUUUUCAUUAAUCAAGAACGAAAGUUAGGGGAUCGAAGACGAUCAGAUACCGUCGUAGUCUUAACCAUAAACUAUGCCGACUAGGGAUCGGAUGAUGUUAAUUUUUAAUGUACUCAUUCGGCGCCU
rnacentral:rRNA from 1 species